CCUACGGGAGGCAGCAGUGGGGAAUAUUGGGCAAUGGGCGCAAGCCUGACCCAGCAACGCCGCGUGAAGGAAGAAGGCUUUCGGGUUGUAAACUUCUUUUGACAGGGAAGAGUAGAAGACGGUACCUGUCGAAUAAGCCACGGCUAACUACGUGCCAGCAGCCGCGGUAAUACGGAGGAUGCGAGCGUUAUCCGGAUUUAUUGGGGUAAAAGGGUGCGCAGGCGGCGUGUCAAGACAGCGGUAAAAUGUCGGGGCGCAACCCCGGCCUGCCGUUGAGACUGGCGUGCUCGAGUUGGAGAGAGGUAUGCGGAAUUCGUGGUGUAGCGGUGAAAUGCAUAGAUAUCACGAAGAACCCCGAUAGCGAAGGCAGCAUACCGGCUCCACACUGACGCUGAGGCACGAAAGCGUGGGUAUCGAACAGGAUUAGAUACCCUUGUAGUC
rnacentral:rRNA from 1 species